UUCCAGGUCAAGGUCGCAACAGAAUUUUUCAGUUACCAUGGCAGCAAGAGCAACAAAGGACUGGCGUCUGGACUGUAAAGUAUAUAUUGGUGAUUUAGGUUAUGGUGCUGCUAAACAAGAAAUAGAAGACGUGUUCCAGAGAUAUGGACCGCUAAGAAAUGUAUGGGUGGCUAGAAACCCUCCAGGUUUUGCUUUUGUUGAAUUUCAAGAUCCACGUGAUGCUGAAGAUGCUACAAAGGCUCUUGAUGGCACGAGAGUAAAUGGUAGGAGAGUACAAGUAGAAAUGUCAUCAGGAAAAUCACGCUGGGGUAAAGAUGGUCCUCCUAAACGUGGUGGAGGGUACAGAGAUGACUGGAGACAGGGUGGUAGCAGAGGUGGUGGCAGAGGAGGUGGUUAUAGUGGUGGAAGAGGUCGUUCAAGGGCCUCCCUCUUUGUCUUCAAACAAGUCAUCAGGCAUCACAUCAAAAAACAACCUCCUCACGUUUCAACGUUGACAUCUUAAUCAACCGUAGCUCUGGGUCAACGCUAUCAACAAGACCAUGUAACAACUGACUCCUCAGCCAAGCUUUUUCAACAAGCACCUCUAAUAUCAACUCUAAGCUUCAUCUCUUAAGCAUGGGUUUAAACAUCGACAAAUUGUCACCUCAUCUGACCUAAUCAUCAUGGAAUAGGGUACCAGUUCAUUUAAAUUAUCUCCUCCUCCAAGACGCAGGGACUCACCAUCACCAAGGAGAAGAGGACGUAGUGAUAGUCGUAGCAGGUCAAAUUCACCUUACAGAAGAAGGUCAAGGUCACCAGUGGACAGAAA